CCGGAAUUCUGCCAGAAAACUAAUGCCAAAACUGGUUCGGUGGGCUCGUCGAAACUUUUAUGGAGUUAGAAAAAUAAGUGGAAGAUCGCAAGGUUCCGGAAAAGUUGUGAAUGAAACUGAAAAAAGUUUGUUCCGAAGAAACCCCCGGCCCCCAAGGGGCCAUUCACAUUCCAGGAAAG